UGUAAGGUGUUCUUUAACACCACAGCACUUACUGUAGAGCAUUGUAG
rfam:Lepisosteus oculatus linkage group LG3, whole genome shotgun sequence.